rnacentral:rRNA from 1 species
GAUGAACGCUGGCGGCGUGCCUAACACAUGCAAGUCGAACGGAAUUUACAUGAAGCCUAGCGAUUGUAAAUUUAGUGGCGGACGGGUGAGUAACGCGUGGGUAACCUGCCUUGUACUGGGGGACAACAGUUGGAAACGACUGCUAAUACCGCAUAAGCGCACAGCUUCGCAUGAAGCAGUGUAGAAAAACUCUGGUGGUACAAGAUGGACCCGCGUCUGAUUAGCUGGUUGGUGAGGUAACGGCCCACCAAGGCGACGAUCAGUAGCCGGACCGAGAGGUUGAACGGCCACAUUGGGACUGAGACACGGCCCAGACUCCUACGGGAGGCAGCAGUGGGGAAUAUUGCACAAUGGGCGCAAGCCUGAUGCAGCAACGCCGCGUGGAGGAAGACGGUUUUCGGAUUGUAAACUCCUGUUCUUAGUGAAGAAUAAUGACGGUAGCUAAGGAGCAAGCCACGGCUAACUACGUG